rnacentral:rRNA from 1 species
GACAAACGGAUCAAAUUAAGAUUUAUUCAGUAUAAAAGGGGGUUAAAAAGGAGUAAUUAUAUUUGAGAGGGUCUUAUGUUUUCUAGAGAGGUGGAAUUUGUAUAGAAAACUUUGGUUUCUUGUCCUCUUUUUUUUGAUGCCUCGAAAGUUUAGUAAAAGACCGGGAUUAGAUACCCCGUUAUUUAUUUUGUAAACUUUGAUUAAUGAUUGAUUUACUUGGGUAUUACGGGUUAUCUAAAUUAGAUGAUGUAUUUAGGUAAGGUGCUUAGAACUCAAAAAACUUGGCGGUGCCUUAUUUCUUUCCAGGGGAACCUGUCCUGUAAUCGAUGGUCCACGGUUUAGCUUACCUCUUCUUGUAUUUGAGGUGUAUAAGGCCACAAAAAACAGUCUGUAUACCGUCGUCGCCAGAUUACCUUUAAGAGUGGUAGAAGUUGUCGGAAGAGAGUGUGUAAAAUUUUAUUUGUAUUAUUAUGGUUUAUGUUUAAUACUGUUACAUAUCUUUGAUGUCAGAUCAAGGUGCAGCUUAUGAGGAGGAAGAGAUGGGUUACAAUAAAUAUUAAUUAUACGGAUUUUAUGUUGUAAUAUAUGAUUGAAGGCGGACUUGGAAGUAAUGUAAAAACUUGAUAGUAGAGAGUUUACACGAAUAAAGUACUAAGGUGUGC